GCUGGGCGUGGUGGUGCGUGCCUGUAAUCCCAGCUACUCAGGAGGCUGAGGCAGGAGAAUCGCUUGAACCCAGGAGGCAGAGGUUGCAGUGAGCCGAGAUCAAGCCAUUGCACUCCAGCCUGGGUGAAACAGCGAGACUCUGCCUCAA
rfam:Pan troglodytes isolate Yerkes chimp pedigree #C0471 (Clint) chromosome X, whole genome shotgun sequence.